GGGAAUAGAUAGGGGCUGGUGUCUCUACAGGUCUUCAAAACCUAGUUAUGGUGCUAAUACCAUCAUGGGUGGGUUCGAUUCCCACAUAUUCCCGCCA
rnacentral:tRNA from 3 species